GGCCGCGGGAAUUCGAUUGAGUUUGAUCCUGGCUCAGGAUGACCUCUGGCGGCGUGCCUAACACAUGCAAGUCGAACGAAGCGUGCGGAUGGAAUUUCUUCGGAGAGGAAGCCUGCAUGACUGAGUGGCGGACGGGUGAGUAACGCGUGGGCAACCUGCCCUGCACAGGGGGACAACAGCCGGAAACGGCUGCUAAUACCGCAUAAGCGCACAGCUUCGCAUGGAGCGGUGUGAAAAGCUGCGGCGGUGCAGGAUGGGCCCGCGUCUGAUUAGCUGGUUGGCGGGGCAACGGCCCACCAAGGCGACGAUCAGUAGCCGGCCUGAGAGGGUGGACGGCCACAUUGGGACUGAGACACGGCCCAGACUCCUACGGGAGGCAGCAGUGGGGAAUAUUGCACAAUGGGGGAAACCCUGAUGCAGCGACGCCGCGUGAGCGAAGAAGUAUUUCGGUAUGUAAAGCUCUAUCAGCAGGGAAGAAAUUGACGGUACCUGAGUAAGAAGCUCCGGCUAAAUACGUGCCAGCAGCCGCGGUAAUACGUAUGGAGCAAGCGUUAUCCGGAUUUACUGGGUGUAAAGGGAGCGUAGGCGGCCUGCCAAGUCUGAUGUGAAAUACCGGGGCUCAACCCCGGGGCUGCAUUGGAAACUGGCAAGCUGGAGUGUCNGAGAGGCAAGCGGGAUUCCCUAGUGUAACGGUGAAAUGCGUAAAUAUUAGGAGGAACCCCUUGGGCGAAGGCGGCUGCUGGAAAAUGACUGAACCCGAAGGCUCAAAAGCUGGGGGAACAAAAGGGAUAAAAUCCCCGGGUAAUCCCGCCCUUAACCAAUAAAACCCAGGUGGCGGGGAACCGAAACCCCCCCGGGCCCCCCC
rnacentral:rRNA from 1 species